UACGUAGGGGGCAAGCGUUAUCCGGAUUUACUGGGUGUAAACGGAGCGUAGACGGCGGUGCAAGCCAGAUGUGAAAGCCCGGGGCUCAACCCCGGGACUGCAUUUGGAACUGUGCUGCUAGAGUGUCGGAGAGGCAGGCGGAAUUCCUAGUGUAGCGGUGAAAUGCGUAGAUAUUAGGAGGAACACCAGUGGCGAAGGCGGCCUGCUGGACGAUGACUGACGUUGAGGCUCGAAAGCGUGGGGAGCAAACAGG
rnacentral:rRNA from 1 species